rnacentral:rRNA from 1 species
AUUAGAUAAAAAACCAACGCCCUUCGGGGCUUCUUGGUGAUUCAUGAUAACUUCACGGAUCGCAUGGCCUUGCGCCGGCGACGGUUCAUUCAAAUUUCUGCCCUAUCAACUUUCGAUGGUAAGGUAUUGGCUUACCAUGGUUUCAACGGGUAACGGGGAAUUAGGGUUCGAUUCCGGAGAGGGAGCCUGAGAAACGGCUACCACAUCCAAGGAAGGCAGCAGGCGCGCAGAUUACCCAAUCCCGACACGGGGAGGUAGUGACAAUAAAUACUGAUACAGGGCUCUUUUGGGUCUUGUAAUUGGAAUGAGUACAAUUUAAACCUCUUAACGAGGAACAAUUGGAGGGCAAGUCUGGUGCCAGCAGCCGCGGUAAUUCCAGCUCCAAUAGCGUAUAUUAAAGUUGUUGCAGUUAAAAAGCUCGUAGUUGAAACUUGGGCCUGGCUGGCAGGUCCGCCUCACCGCGUGUACUUGUCCGGCCGGGCCUUUCCUUCUGGAGAACCUCAUGCCCUUCACUGGG